rnacentral:tRNA from 2 species
GGAGGGGUGGCCGAGUGGCUGAAGGCGCUGGUUUGCUAAAUCAGUAUACGGGUAACCGUAUCGAGGGUUCGAAUCCCUCUCCCUCCGCCA